ACCCUUAUACUCUUUGUGCUGGAUUUAUUUUAGUAUUGGUUGUGUACAAGUCACUUGCAGUUUAAUCUUUUUGAACUGUCAGGAGGAUUCAGCAGAGGAACGCUUACCCGCCCGAAGCGUUGGAACUGUCCUUGCCAAGACAAGAAAAGGAUAGCUUUGCAUCUGCAUUUGUUUCAACAUUAUUAUUCCCAGACACUGCUCACUAGUGACAACAUCUCAAAUCAGAUUCCAAAGGAGCUGGUAACUACUCCAACUGAUGAAACUGACAUGAUACACAAUUCACACCGAAGGAGCUGGUGUUCUAAUUGCAAAUAUAGACAAUUUUUGCUUAGCCUGUGUUUGGCAAAUGCACCCGCAAAGUAGAGAUAUAAUGUGUUUAAUGUCUGUAAAUGUAGUAUUAAUCAUAUUGAUAAUACACCCGCAGAGUAACCACAUUGAAAUAGAACUCUGAAGAAAAUCGACAUAUGGUUAUCAUGAUUGCUGACGGAGUAAGACAAGCUCUUCUUUUAGAGAAAUUGCAUUCGAAGAACCAGCAAGCAACAGCAACACCAAAUGAAUAUUCUAUUGUAUCUCUCUUCACAAUACCCUUUCAAAUCAAAUAUAUCUUACCUAAAUUUUUGCACCGCCAUCAAACAAUUUAAAGCAAACCAAAUGUACAAACCAACAAUACAAAAUCAAUGAUAUUCUUUUUUAUACAAUCA